GAACGUCGUGAGACAGUUC
rnacentral:rRNA from 1 species